GACGAACGCUGGCGGCGUGCUUAACACAUGCAAGUCGAACGGUGACGGAGAGCUUGCUCUCCUGAUCAGUGGCGAACGGGUGAGUAACACGUGGGCAACCUGCCCCAGACUUCGGGAUAACGCUUCGAAAGAAGGUGCUAAUACCGAAUACGAACCUCCCUGGCAUCUGGGAGGUUGGAAAGCUUUCGGUUCUGGGAUGGGCCCGCGGCCUAUCAGCUUGUUGGUGAGGUAACGGCUCACCAAGGCGACGACGGGUAGCCGGCCUGAGAGGGCGACCGGCCACACUGGGACUGAGACACGGCCCAGACUCCUACGGGAGGCAGCAGUGGGGAAGUAUUGCGGCAAUGGGCGAAAGCCUGACGCAGCAACGCCGCGUGAGGGAUGACGGCCUUCGGUUGG
rnacentral:rRNA from 1 species